UCUUCAGUAAACCCGGUUUUUAAGAAAGACACCCGACCAUUACUUCCUCUAGUGCAUCUAAUGGUCAUUUUUCCUGCGGCUAGACGAUCUUAUGUUCCUCCUUCUUGGGGAAAACUAAUGCUUCAUCCGGAAUCUCCAAUCAUUCAGUUUUAUCCCGAAAACUUUGACGUCGAUUUGAACGGGAACAA